rnacentral:rRNA from 1 species
UACGGAGGGUGCGAGCGUUGUCCGGAAUCACUGGGCGUAAAGGGCGCGUAGGCGGCCCUGGCAGUCGGUGGUGAAAACCCCGGGGCUCAACCCCGGGCUUGCGGUCGAUACGGGCAGGCUCGAGUUCGGUAGGGGAGACUGGAAUUCCUGGUGUAGCGGUGAAAUGCGCAGAUAUCGGGAGGAACACCGGUGGCGAAGGCGGUUCUCUGGGCCUGUACUGACGCUGAGGAGCGAAAGCGUGGGGAGCGAACAGG